rnacentral:rRNA from 1 species
GACGAACGCUGGCGGCGUGCUUAACACAUGCAAGUCGAACGGAUCACAUUGCUUCGGUUUUGUGGUGAGUGGCGAACGGGUGAGUAACACGUGAGUAACCUGCCCCCUUCUUUGGGAUAACGUCGGGAAAUCGGCGCUAAUACUGGAUAUUCUGGUUUCCUCGCAUGGGGUUUCUGGGAAAGGUUGUCUGGUGGGGGGUGGGCUCGCGGCCUAUCAGCUUGUUGGUGGGGUGAUGGCCUACCAAGGCGGUGACGGGUAGCCGGCCUGAGAGGGUGUCCGGCCACACUGGGACUGAGACACGGCCCAGACUCCUACGGGAGGCAGCAGUGGGGAAUAUUGCACAAUGGGCGCAAGCCUGAUGCAGCGACGCCGCGUGAGGGAUGACGGCCUUCGGGUUGUAAACCUCUUUCAGUACAGAACAAGGCCUUCGGGUUGAGGGUAUGUGCAGAAGAAGCGCCGGCUAACUACGUGCCAGCCGCCGCCGUAACAC